rnacentral:sRNA from 1 species
UGCCGAGGCUUCUCAAUACGCCAGCCUA